GGCGCCGUAGCCAAGUGGCCUAAGGCAGUGGAUUGCAAAUCCACCAUCCCCGGUUCGAAUCCGGGCGGCGCCU
rnacentral:tRNA from 2 species